rnacentral:lncRNA from 1 species
CAGGUAGCCUAGUGGUUGGAGCAGGUAGUCUAGUGGUUAGAGCAGGUAGCCUAGUGGUUAGAGCAGGUAGCCUAGUGGUUAGAGCAGAUAGUCUAGUGGUUAGAGCAGGUAGCCUAGUGGUUGGAGCAGGUAGUCUAGUGGUUAGAGCAGGUAGCCUAGUGGUUAGAGCAGGUAGCCUAGUGGUUAGAGACAGGUAGUCUAGCGGUUAGAGCAGCUAGUCUAGUGGUUAGAGCAGGUAGCCUAGCGGUUAGAGCAGGUAGCCUAGUGGUUAGAGACAGGUGGCCUAGUGGUUAGUGCAGGUAGCCUAGUGUUUAGUGCGUUGGACUAGUAACCGAAAGGUUGCAAGAUCAAAUCCCUGAGCUGACAAGGUAAAAAUCUGUUGUUCUGCCACUGAACAAGGCAGUUAACCCACUGUUCCCCGGUAGGCCGUCAUUGAAAAUAAGAAUUUGUUCUUAACUGACUUGCCAAGUUUAAUAAAUAAAAAUAAAGACAGAUGGUUUCCAUGUGUUUGAUGCCAUUCCAUUUACUCCGUUCCAGACAUUAUUAUGAGCCGUCCUCCCCUCGCCAGCCUCCAUUGACUGCUACACACAUUUUCCAUAGAAGAGAGAUGUUCUACUGUGAGUUCUCGCUCUGCCAGGUUUGAUGUCAUGUUGUGUAAAUUAGAGAGUAGUAUUGCGUUGGCUAACAGUCUUACUCAGACAAUACGAUGGCAAGAACAUGGCUUGCCUCCACAACGGGAAAUUGGUAAUAGAAGUCCACAAGAUAAUUACAGUAGGGUGAUGUAUUACAGUAGGGUGGUGUAUUACAGUAGGGUGAUGUAUUACAGUAGGGUGAUUUAUUACAGUAGGGUGAUUUAUUACAGUAGGGUGGUGUAUUACAGUAGGGUGGUGUAUUACAGUAGGGUGAUGUAUUACAGUAGGGUGAUGUUUUACAGUAGGGUGGUGUAUUACAGUAGGGUGAUGUAUUACAGUAGGGUAAUGUUUUACAGUAGGGUGGUGUAUUUCAGCAGAGUGAUGUAUUAUAGUAGGGUUAUGUUUUACAGUAGGGUGGUGUAUUACAGUAGGGUGAUGUAUUACAGUAGGGUAAUGUUUUACAGUAGGGUGAUGUAUUACAGUAGGCUGAUGUAUUACAGUAAGGUGAUGUUUUACAGUAGAGUGGUGUAUUAGAGUAGGUUGAUGUAUUAUAGUAGGGUUAUGUUUUACAGUAGGGUGAUGUAUUACAGUAGGGUGAUAUUUUAAUGUAGGGUACCACAUAAUGUACACAAUAGUGGUAUGAUGGAAAUUACAGUGUUGAAUGUACGUGUUAGUGCUAUGUGUGUGUGUGUGUGUGUGUGUGUGUGUGUGUGUGUGUGUGUGUGUGUGUGUGUGUGUGUGUGUGUGUGUGUGUGAUAGCUGCAGUCGAAUGUGUUAGUGCAGUGAUUAUGUUAAGAAAAGUUGUGAGGAAGGCCCAAAGGAAGGCCCAAAGGAAGGCCCAAAGGAAGGCCCAAAGGAAGGCCCACAAGUUCCGAGGAAGGCCCAAAGGAAGGCCCAAAGGAAGGCCCAAAGGAAGGCCCAAAAGUUCCGAGGAAGGCCCAAAGGAAGGCCAAAAGUUCUGAGGAAGGCCCAAAGGAAGGCCCAAAGGAAGGCCCAAAGGAAGGCCCAAAAGUUCCGAGGAAGGCCCAAAGGAAGGCCAAAAGUUCUGAGGAAGGCCCAAAGGAAGGCCCAAAGGAAGGCCCAAAAGUUCAGAGGAAGGCCCAAAGGAAGGCCCAAAG